AGUGAACGCUGGCGGUAGGCCUAACACAUGCAAGUCGAACGGCAGCACAGUAAGAGCUUGCUCUUACGGGUGGCGAGUGGCGGACGGGUGAGGAAUACAUCGGAAUCUACUUUUUCGUGGGGGAUAACGUAGGGAAACUUACGCUAAUACCGCAUACGACCUACGGGUGAAAGCAGGGGAUCUUCGGACCUUGCGCGAUUGAAUGAGCCGAUGUCGGAUUAGCUAGUUGGCGGGGUAAAGGCCCACCAAGGCGACGAUCCGUAGCUGGUCUGAGAGGAUGAUCAGCCACACUGGAACUUGGACACGGUCCAGACUCCUACGGGAGGCAGCAGUGGGGAAUAUUGGACAAUGGGCGCAAGCCUGAUCCAACCAUACCGCGUGGGUGAAGAAGGCCUUCGGGUUGUAAAGCCCUUUUGUUGGGAAAGAAAAGCAGCAGGUUAAUACCCCGCUGUUCUGACGGUACCCAAAGAAUAAGCACCGGCUAACUUCGUG
rnacentral:rRNA from 1 species